UNAAUAGAGAAAAAAUGAGUAACACGUGGGCAAUCUGCCCUUCACUCUGGGACAAGCCCUGGAAACGGGGUCUAAUACCGGAUACGACACACGACCGCAUGGUCUGUGUGUGGAAAGCUCCGGCGGUGAAGGAUGAGCCCGCGGCCUAUCAGCUUGUUGGUGGGGUGAUGGCCUACCAAGGCGACGACGGGUAGCCGGCCUGAGAGGGCGACCGGCCACACUGGGACUGAGACACGGCCCAGACUCCUACGGGAGGCAGCAGUGGGGAAUAUUGCACAAUGGGCGAAAGCCUGAUGCAGCGACGCCGCGUGAGGGAUGACGGCCUUCGGGUUGUAAACCUCUUUCAGCAGGGAAGAAGCGAAAGUGACGGUACCUGCAGAAGAAGCGCCGGCUAACUACGUGCCAGCAGCCGCGGUAAUACGUAGGGCGCAAGCGUUGUCCGGAAUUAUUGGGCGUAAAGAGCUCGUAGGCGGCUUGUCACGUCGGAUGUGAAAGCCCGGGGCUUAACCCCGGGUCUGCAUUCGAUACGGGCAGGCUAGAGUUCGGUAGGGGACAUCGGAAUUCCUGGUGUAGCGGUGAAAUGCNCAGAUAUCAAGANNNANNCCGGGUGGCGAANGCGGAUCUCUGGGCCGNUACUGACCCUGAGGANCNAAAGCGUGGGGGAGCGAACAGGNNANGUUCCNNUGGAAGUCNCNNC
rnacentral:rRNA from 1 species